GAUGAACGCUGGCGGCGUGCCUAAUACAUGCAAGUCGAGCGAACAGAUAAGGAGCUUGCUCCUUUGACGUUAGCGGCGGACGGGUGAGUAACACGUGGGUAACCUACCUAUAAGACUGGGAUAACUUCGGGAAACCGGAGCUAAUACCGGAUAAUAUUUCGAACCGCAUGGUUCGAUAGUGAAAGAUGGUUUUGCUAUCACUUAUAGAUGGACCCGCGCCGUAUUAGCUAGUUGGUAAGGUAACGGCUUACCAAGGCGACGAUACGUAGCCGACCUGAGAGGGUGAUCGGCCACACUGGAACUGAGACACGGUCCAGACUCCUACGGGAGGCAGCAGUAGGGAAUCUUCCACAAUGGGCGAAAGCCUGACGGAGCAACGCCGCGUGAGUGAUGAAGGUCUUCGGAUCGUAAAACUCUGUUAUUAGGGAAGAACAUACGUGUAAGUAACUGUGCACGUCUUGACGGUACCUAAUCAGAAAGCCACGGCUAACUACGUG
rnacentral:rRNA from 1 species